CAUUUCAAAGUUUCUACCAGUGUAUCAGUGAUGGACAACAGAGAGACAUGCUGUACAGUGUUUGCCUCGUUGACAAAGCUGCUUUUGAAUGCUGGUGGUUCUGUUCCUUUGACACUACGCACGUUUAUAUGUGUUAAUGCUCUGUGACAAAAUGCUCUGACUCCUAGUGCCAAGGUUCCCUUCAGUGCACACAACUGAACACUCAUCCAUCUGUGCUUUUUUUUAAAUGGUGCUUAAAGAGCCCAUCCUUUCCAAGUCAUCCAUAUUGUUCCUUAGGCAUUUUAUCUUUGCUCAAUUGUUAAAGAAUGGUGGCUUGUUUUCAUGGUUUUUGUAUUAGUGUCUAAUGCACGUUUUAACAUGAUAGACACCAUGAUCGCAUAGCUACAAUUUUGUGGAAAAGUUAAUCUUGUAGGAGUUGUUUUUCAGAUCUUCAAUAAAUUUCUUCAUUAAAUUUCAAAAAAAAUUGU
rnacentral:lncRNA from 1 species